UUUGUCUCGCUUCGUAUCAAUUAAUUUUCCCCAACCCAAUAAUUUCAACGGCACCGUUUUCUCCAUACCCAUCAUCGAUCCUUCUUCUCAGAACUUCAGAAUCAAUGUUAUCAUAUGCAGGUGGGUGUGAUUAUUUAGUUAGUUGAAGGUUGGAGAUUGAAGAAGAUGUUUGAAUCACACAAAGAAAUUCUCUUUGACGAGCUUGGUGCCUCACAAAACACAAGGUGUUGAGCUUGCAGCUGUUCCUCCUGUGAAAAACACUGCUUCUUCUACUGCUGCUGCUUCUGGCUCUGGCUCUGCUGGAGCUGGGAAGCAACGUUUGCGAUGGACUUCUGACCUUCAUGACCGUUUUGUUGAUGCUAUCACCCAGCUUGGCGGACCAGAUAGUUGGUAUUUUCUUUUUUUAUUGUAUUGUAUUCUACUUUUUGCUAUAAAAAAAAGGGGAUAGUUACAUAAGAAAGUCCCCGGAGACUCUCUCCCUCUCU